rnacentral:rRNA from 2 species
UACAGAGGUGGCAAGCGUUGUUCGGAAUUACUGGGCGUAAAGGGCGCGUAGGCGGCCCGUCAAGUCCCGUGUGAAAGCCCCCGGCUCAACCGGGGAACUGCACGGGAAACUAGCAGGCUUGAGUUCGGGAGAGGGAAGCGGAAUUCCGGGUGUAGCGGUGAAAUGCGCAGAUAUCCGGAGGAACACCGGUGGCGAAGGCGGCUUCCUGGACCGACACUGACGCUGAGGCGCGAAAGCUAGGGGAGCAAACGGG